rnacentral:tRNA from 1 species
GGUUUAUAGCUCAGUGGUAGGUAGAGUGCUUGCCUAGCAAGCGCGAGGUCCUGGAUUCAAUCCUCAGCACCA